GCGGGGGUGCCCGAGCCAGGAAAAGGGGGCGGACAGCGUAUCCGCUGGCGUAGGCCUACGCGGGUUCGAAUCCCGCCCCCCGCACCA
rnacentral:tRNA from 2 species